rnacentral:rRNA from 1 species
AUUGAACGCUGGCGGCAUGCCUUACACAUGCAAGUCGAACGGCAGCGCGGACUUCGGUCUGGCGGCGAGUGGCGAACGGGUGAGUAAUACAUCGGAACGUACCCUGUUGUGGGGGAUAACGAGUCGAAAGAUUAGCUAAUACCGCAUACGACCUGAGGGUGAAAGGGGGGGACCGCAAGGCCUCACGCAGCAGGAGCGGCCGAUGUCUGAUUAGCUAGUUGGUGGGGUAAAGGCCCACCAAGGCGACGAUCAGUAGCUGGUCUGAGAGGACGAUCAGCCACACUGGGACUGAGACACGGCCCAGACUCCUACGGGAGGCAGCAGUGGGGAAUUUUGGACAAUGGGGGCAACCCUGAUCCAGCAAUGCCGCGUGUGUGAAGAAGGCCUUCGGGUUGUAAAGCACUUUUGUCCGGAAAGAAAUCGCGCUGGUUAAUACCUGGCGUGGAUGACGGUACCGGAAGAAUAAGCACCGGCUAACUACGUG